UAGGGAAUCUUCGGCAAUGGACGAAAGUCUGACCGAGCAACGCCGCGUGAGUGAAGAAGGUUUUCGGAUCGUAAAACUCUGUUGUUAGAGAAGAACAAGGACGUUAGUAACUGAACGUCCCCUGACGGUAUCUAACCAGAAAGCCACGGCUAACUACGUUCCAGCAGCCGCGGUAAUACGUAGGUGGCAAGCGUUGUCCGGAUUUAUUGGGCGUAAAGCGAGCGCAGGCGGUUUCUUAAGUCUGAUGUGAAAGCCCCCGGCUCAACCGGGGAGGGUCAUUGGAAACGUGGGGACUUGAGUGAAGAAGAGGAGAGUGGAAUUCCAUGUGUAGCGGUGAAAUGCGUAGGAAUAUGGAGGAACACCAGUGGCGAAGGCGGCUCACUGGUCUGUAACUGACGCUGAGGCUCGAAAGCGUGGGGAGCAAACAGG
rnacentral:rRNA from 1 species